GACGAACGCUGGCGGCGUGCUUAACACAUGCAAGUCGAGCGGUAAGGCCCUUUCGGGGGUACGACGAGCGGCGAACGGGUGAGUAACACGUGGGUGACCUGCCCUCAGCUCUGGGAUAAGCCUGGGAAACCGGGUCUAAUACUGGAUAUGACUCCAUGACGCAUGUUGUGGGGUGGAAAGGCCUUGUGCGGCUGAGGAUGGGCCCGCGGCCUAUCAGCUUGUUGGUGGGGUGANGGCCUACCAAGGCGACGACGGGUAGCCGGCCUGAGAGGGCGACCGGCCACACUGGGACUGAGACACGGCCCAGACUCCUACGGGAGGCAGCAGUGGGGAAUCUUGCGCAAGUGGGACGUAAAGCCUGACGCAAGCGACGCCGCGUGAGGGAUGACGGCCUGGU
rnacentral:rRNA from 1 species